rnacentral:rRNA from 1 species
ACGGUGGGGGGAUGACGGUACCGGAAGAAUAAGCACCGGCUCUACGUGCCAGCAGCCGCGGUAAUACGUAGGGUGCAAGCGUUAAUCGGAAUUACUGGGUAAAGCGUGCGCAGGCGGUUCGCUAAGACAGAUGUGAAAUCCCCGGGCUUAACCUGGGCUGCAUUUGUGACUGGCGGGCUAGAGUAUGGCAGAGGGGGGUAGAAUUCCACGUGUAGGUGAAAUGCGUAGAGAUGUGGAGGAAUACCGAUGGCGAAGGCAGCCCCCUGGGCCAAUUGACGCUCAUGCACGAAAGCGUGGGGAGCAAACAGGAUUAGAUACCCUGGUAGUCCACCCUAAACGAUGUCAACUAGUUGUCGGGUCUUCAUUGACUUGGUAACGUAGCUAACGCG